rnacentral:rRNA from 1 species
UACGUAGGGCGCGAGCGUUGUCCGGAAUUAUUGGGCGUAAAGAGCUCGUAGGCGGCCUGUCGCGUCGGUUGUGAAAGCCCGGGGCUCAACCCCGGGUCUGCAGUCGAUACGGGCAGGCUAGAGUGUGGUAGGGGAGAUCGGAAUUCCUGGUGUAGCGGUGAAAUGCGCAGAUAUCAGGAGGAACACCGGUGGCGAAGGCGGAUCUCUGGGCCAUUACUGACGCUGAGGAGCGAAAGCGUGGGGAGCGAACAGG